UCAAGUUUUUAAGAGCUAUUGGUGGAUGCCUUGGCAUUAGUAGGCGACGAAGGACGUGUUACCUGCGAUAAGCCUCGGGGAGCUGGUAAACGCUUUGAUCCGAGGGAUUCCGAAUGGGGAAACCCGAUAGAAGUAAUAUUCUGUCAUCUACUUCUGAAUACAUAGGGAGUAGAAGUUAUACGUGCUGAAUUGAGACAUCUUAGUAAGCACAGGAAGAGAAAUCAAACCGAGAUUCUCUGAGUAGCGGCGAGCGAAAAGGGAAUAGCCCAAACCGUAAAUUUAUUUGCGGGGUUGUAGGGCCAUCAACAUGUAUUGCAAUUCUUAGCAGAACCUUCUGGAAAGUUGGACAACAUAGGGUGAUAGUCCCGUAUGCGAAAAGAAGAGCAAGCUAGAUGGUACCUGAGUAGGUCCGGACACGUGAAACCCGGUCUGAAUCUGGGGGGACCACCCUCCAAGGCUAAAUACUCACUAAUGACCGAUAGUGAACAAGUACCGUGAGGGAAAGGCGAAAAGAACCCCUGUUAGGGGAGUGAAAUAGAACCUGAAACCAGUAGCUUACAAGCGGUCAGAGGCCUAUGCCCUCUUUGAGGGAAUGGCUGAUGGCGUGCCUUUUGCAUGAUGAGCCAGCGAGUUAUGUUGUUUAGGCAAGGUUAAGGGACGUACGUUCCGGAGCCGUAGCGAAAGCGAGUGUGAAUAGCGCGAUUAGUCUUACGACAUAGACACGAAACCAAGUGAUCUAUCCAUGGCCAGGCUGAAGCAAGGGUAAAACCUUGUGGAGGGCCGCACUAGUUCCUGUUGAAAAAGGUUUAGAUGAGCUGUGGAUAGGGGUGAAAGGCCAAUCAAACUUGGAAAUAUCUUGUUCUCUCCGAAAUAACUUAAGGGUUAGCCUCAACUAUAUGCCUAUUAGGGGUAGAGCACUGGAUCCACGCGGGGGUGGCAACACCUACCAAAGGGAACCAAACUCCGAAUACUGAUAGGUUGGUUGGGAGAUAGACAGUGGGGGAUAAGCUUCAUUGUCGAGAGGGGAACAGCCCAGAUCGUCGAUUAAGGCCCCAAAUUCUAUGCUAAGUGGGUAAGGAAGUAAAGUUUCAAAGACAGUUGGGAUGUUGGCUUAGAGGCAGCAACCAUUUAAAGAGUGCGUAACAGCUCACCAAUCGAGAAGCUUUGCGCCGAUAAUAUAUGGGACUCAAGCAUAGAGCCGAAAUCACGGGUUUGCAUGUAAAUGCAAGCGGUAGGAGAGCGUAGUAUGUGCAUCGAAGGUAUACCGUAAGGAGUGCUGGAGCGCAUACUAGUGAGGAUGCAUGGCAUAAGUAACGAUAAAGGAGGUGAGAAUCCUCCUCGCCGAAAACCUAAGGUUUCCAGGGUAAAGCUCGUCUUCCCUGGGUUAGCCGGCCCCUAAGCCGAGGCAGAAAUGCGUAGGCGAUGGGAAACAGGUUAAAUAUUCCUGUGCCACCUAAAACUAUGGUGAUGGGAUGACGGAGUAAGUUAAGCACGCGGACUGUUGGAUGUCCGUAGGGUGAUGAGGAUGGCUAAUAGGUAAAUCCGUUAGCGGAAUUCCAGGUCACACUCAAAGGGAAUCUUCGGAGGAACUGAUGGUGUGGAGCAAUGCUCACGAGAAAUAAUCUCUAGCCGUUGAUGGUGACCGUACCAAAACCGACACAGGUGGGUGAGAUGAAUAUUCUUAGGCGCGCGAGAUAACUCUUGUUAAGGAACUCGGCAAAUUAUUCCUGUAACUUCGGGAGAAGGGAAGCCUCCCUCGGUAUUAGUUUUCGCAACGAAAGCUGAGGGAGGCCGCAGAGAAAUGGCCCAGGCGACUGUUUAACAAAAACACAGCACUAUGCAAAGUCGUGUAAGACAAAGUAUAUGGUGUGACGCCUGCCCAAUGCCAAAAGGUCAAAAGGAGGGGUUAGCUUCGGCGAAGCUCCAAAUUUAAGCCCUGGUGAAUGGCGGCCGUAACUAUAACGGUCCUAAGGUAGCGAAAUUCCUUGUCGGGUAAGUUCCGACCUGCACGAAUGGCGUAACGAUCUGGGCGCUGUCUCAACAAGAGACUCGGUGAAAUUGUAGUAGCAGUGAAGAUGCUGUUUACCCGCAAUCAGACGGAAAGACCCCGUGAACCUUUACUGUAGUCUGAUAUUGGCUUGUGACUUGUCAUAUGUAGGAUAACCGGGAGACUUUGAAGAUAUCUCGUCAGGGAUAUUGGAGUCACCCUUGAAAUACCGGUUUUGGCAAGUUGUGAAUCUAACAAUACAUCUUGAAACAGGUGAUUGGACAUUGUCAGAUGGGCAGUUUUACUGGGGCGGUAUCCUCCUAAAAAGUAACGGAGGAGUCCAAAGCUUACCUCAUCGUGGUUGGUAAUCACGAACAGAGCGUAAAGGUAUAAGGUAGGUUAACUGCGAGACGGACAUGUCAAGCAGAUACGAAAGUAGGGCUUAGUGGUCCGGCGAUAGAACGUGGAAUCGUCGUCGCUUAACGGAUAAAAGGUACUCCGGGGAUAACAGGCUUAUCGCCACCAAGAGUUCAUAUCGACGUGGCGGUUUGGCACCUCGAUGUCGGCUCAUC
rnacentral:rRNA from 1 species